UGGGGAAUAUUGGACAAUGGGCGCAAGCCUGAUCCAGCUAUGCCGCGUGGAUGAAGAAGGCCUUCGGGUUGUAAAGUCCUUUCGUUGGUGACGAUAAUGACGGUAACCAAAGAAGAAGCCCCGGCUAAUUUCGUGCCAGCAGCCGCGGUAAUACGAAAGGGGCUAGCGUUGUUCGGAAUUACUGGGCGUAAAGCGCACGUAGGCGGCCUUGUAAGAUGGGGGUGAAAUCCCCGGGCUCAACCCGGGAACUGCCUUCAUGACUGCAAAGCUUGAGGAUGUGAGAGGUUGGCGGAAUUCCGAGUGUAGAGGUGAAAUUCGUAGAUAUUCGGAAGAACACCAGUGGCGAAGGCGGCCAACUGGCACAUUUCUGACGCUGAGGUGCGAAAGCGUGGGGAGCAAA
rnacentral:rRNA from 1 species